GGCUGGCUUCCUGUGUGUGUGCUCAGGGCCAGAGCUGGAGACCUGUGCUUCCCCUGGGCCUGCAGGAGGCCCCUCGGGGAACAAGUCACACCCCGAGGACCGAGGGGAAAAGAAGGUGUGCAUGUGGUCCAGAGAAAGGGGGGACCGAACCCCAAGCCAGAGACGAGGCUGAGAGCUGGGCACAGCAUCCCUAAGGAGUCGGUUCCCGCUGGACGUGUCCCCCCCAAGGGGGGCUCUGCAGGGAACCUUCCACCGGCUUCUGAAUGCCAGCCGGCUGCGGCCGGAGGACCCGGCCAGGCCCUAUCUCUCACUCUCGCCCCUUCACUCAUUCAGGCAGCAAGGAUCUGCCGAGGCGUCUUCAGCAGAGCUCUGGCUGCAGACCAGGGGGCAGAGACCAGAGCGUGCGAUCGCGACGUAGACUUGGAACUAAAGUACUUGUGAAAACCACCAGCCUAGAAGCUGCCAGAGGGGCCAGAAUUGAUUUGAACUUCCCCCAACACAGAAAACCGUCACCAUUUAUCUGUUGGCAGCUCCUUAAAAAUCUCCACUCUCAAGGGCUCGUUUUUAUUUGAACUGACUCAGAGCUUACCCUGUGCCAACAGCCCUAUCCCCAGGGCAUUUGUUGGGGAAAAAAAAACAACCCAACCAGUUGCAAUUGGUUAACAUCAUAGCUCUCCGAGGCGGUAAUGCCAGUUGGAGGCAACAAGAGGCCAACCUGAGAACUUGAAAGGAAAAGCUUGGGAAUGAGACGUCCGCAGAGGGCUUUGAUGAUCUCUGACUUACUCUGGGACUUCGAAAGACACCUGCAUGUUCAGGGCUGGGGACAUGUCUACAAAAUGCCCAAGAGGCCCCAGUGUCUACUUGUGACCCACCUUGAGGCCCUGAGCAAGCAGGAAAUGAAGGGUGUGUCCUUGGGGUAGCUUCCUAUAAAACAGAUCACUAGAUCUGGGCCGCCCGGCUGGUUCGAUCGGUGGAGCCUGCGACUCUUGAUCUCGGGGUUGUGAGUUUGAGCCCCUCACUGGGUAUAGAAAUUACUUAAAAAUAAAAUCUUAAAAACAAAAACAAAAACCCUUCCUGAGAUUACUGGACCAAGGGGUCAAUCCAUAUAAAUACAUAAUUUUGUUAAAUAUUACCAACUUUUCCCUCCAUAGCCUUUGUUCCAUUUUGUGCUCUGGACAGCAAGGCGAGAGGGUCUUUUCUCACAGCUUCGCUAAUGGGAUGGGUUGUCAGCCUCUCGAGGUUUUGUUAGCCAAUGGGUGAUAAACAGUUUCUCAGUGUGGUUUCAUUUUGCGUUUUGAUUUGAGUGAAAUCGAGCAUUUUUUGAUAUGUGUAAAGAACUUUUGAUGAUUUUUGAAAUGAACUGCGGUGUUUUCUAUCAGGUUUUUAGUUUUGUUCUUCCAGAUUUUUAUAGAGCUCUUUGAGACAUUCUGGCUGUUGAGUGUAUCUUCUAAGCUGGUGACUCCAAACCAUGCCUGUGCUCAGCUCCAAACUCAGAGGCUCAACCAUCUACUUGAUAUUUCCACUUACAGACCCAAUAGGCAGUCUUCGGUCUAUCAUGGGAAAGACAGAAUUCUUUAUUUUUCCCCCUUGGUAAUUCCUCAGCCUGAUAAAUUAUAUCCAAACACCCAGCUGGUUUUGUUUUUCUCUAUCUCCUCUGAUAAAGCCUGGACCAAGCCAGCAUCAUCUAUGUCCCCGACCC